rnacentral:tRNA from 1 species
GGUCUUGUGGCGCAAUUGGUUAGCGCGUUCGACUGUUAUGACACUGGCGAAAUCUCGGAAUCUCAAAAUUUCCGAAAUUUGGUCAAGAGGUUAUAUUAUCGAGAGGUUGACAGUUCAAUCCUGUCCAGGACCG